GGCGGUGUAGCUCAGAUGGUAGAGCGCGCGCUUAGCAUGCGAGAGGUACCGGGAUCGAUACCCGGCACCUCCA
rfam:Ciona savignyi cont_7287, whole genome shotgun sequence.